GGAGAGAUGGCCGAGCGGUUUAAGGCGCUUGUCUUGAAAACAAGUGUGGGGAAACUCACCGUGGGUUCGAAUCCCUCUCUCUCCG
rfam:Anaerolineaceae bacterium oral taxon 439 strain W11661, complete genome.